rnacentral:lncRNA from 1 species
CAGUGAAAACAAUCCUAGUCCCCUUCACAGUAGCCUUCAUGCCACCUGAUCCAUGCCAAACACUCCCAUAGAAUUCAUGAACAAGGCUUGGGUAUGUCGAAACAUCCAAUGAACACAAGUAUUCCUACCCUUGCUCCUUAUUUUUCUGACCUAUGGUAAAUCCCUCUUUCUCUGAAGAUCUAAAAUCAAUUUUCCUUUCCAUUGUCACCACAUGUCCGGCUAGGGUUGCUACGAACCAAAG